AGUGAACGCUGGCGGUAGGCCUAACACAUGCAAGUCGAACGGCAGCACAGUAAGAGCUUGCUCUUACGGGUGGCGAGUGGCGGACGGGUGAGGAAUACAUCGGAAUCUACUUUUUCGUGGGGGAUAACGUAGGGAAACUUACGCUAAUACCGCAUACGACCUACGGGUGAAAGCAGGGAAUCUUCGGACCUUGCGCGAUUGAAUGAGCCGAUGUCGGAUUAGCUAGUUGGCGGGGUAAAGGCCCACCAAGGCGACGAUCCGUAGCUGGUCUGAGAGGAUGAUCAGCCACACUGGAACUGAGACACGGUCCAGACUCCUACGGGAGGCAGCAGUGGGGAAUAUUGGACAAUGGGCGCAAGCCUGAUCCAGCCAUACCGCGUGGGUGAAGAAGGCCUUCGGGUUGUAAAGCCCUUUUGUUGGGAAAGAAAAGCAGCAGGUUAAUACCCCGCUGUUCUGACGGUACCCAAAGAAUAAGCACCGGCUAAUUUCGUG
rnacentral:rRNA from 1 species